GCGGAAGCUGCGCCAUCAUGCUCGUUUUCGCGUGCGUUCGCGUCGCGCGCUGUGCGAAAUAAUUUUAAACGUGUGAUUAGUUUUGCGCGCGGGGUAGAAAAAGAUGUGGCCCUUGCUUUGUGUAUUACUCGUGCCCCACUUCAAAGCAAAGCGUUCGUACGCACUGGAAGAUGGAUCCACGAAGGCUGAAACGAGAAGUUGCAACGUGCCCGGUCGGUUGUACUGGCAUGACGGAAAUUUUCAGCGAGUGUUCCCGCCUGAAAGCCGAGUUUGGUUUCAAGCCACUCUGGACAACUGCUGUAUGAGGCGCCGUUUCUCUGGAGCACCAGUGGGAAGGCGCCAGGUCAUGCAGAUGGCAGCAGCAAUUUCACAAUGCCCAGCCUUGGCGCCCCCCAUCAAGAGCAAGCCACUUGCGUUCGCCUUCAGACAGAUGGUUAAUGUCUUCUUGAAAGCGGUUGAGAAGACAACAUUGAUGCAAGAUUCCAGCAAUGCCAUGCGCUGCGUUGGUCAAGAUGCUCAGAGAAUGGAGUCCCUGCACCUCGUGGUUAACCGUGAACAUUUCUUUUUCUUUUGGAAAGCUAAAGGCCAUUCGCUGCAUGACUUGCAUUUUUGCAGCUCGGAUGUGUACUAUAUUUUUCUAAUUUUGAAUCAAUAUUGGCUGUUCAGUAUAAAAAAUGAUGUACAGCGUGAAGGACAAGGACUGCGACAGACACACUCCACUGACUUUCAACAAUAUUUUAUUGCGUUGACACAUCGUGUGUGUAAACAUAAGAGGGGUCAUGCGCAGAAAAUGAAAGCCAGUCACAAGGGGUGUUCUAACAGCAAGUCAUUGUAAAAAGAACAUGUUACUUGAAAAAAAAAGCAUCACAAUUUCUAUCUGUUUAGAUACAAAAUUUCUCUAGGGGUCAGCGUGAUAGAGGGGGCACUAACGCACACACUACCCAGUUUUCUGGUGAAAUCAGCUUCAAUAAUUUACUGGGUGAGCUGUGUCUCGCUAGACCUUCCGUAUCUUCAAAGAGGGCCAUGCAACCGCAGUCCUGGCAAUGAAUGCCCAAGUGGCCUUGAACAGUGUUAUUGACGUUGUUAUAGUGCUCUCUUAAACGAUCAUUUAGGCACCUGCCUGUCUGUCCAAUAUAUUUACUGCCUCAAAAUGGGAAUUUGGGAAACCACAUUCGUUGCACACAUCGCAAAACGUUUUCUGUGCCCGGCAGAGCAACAACUCUGAUGCGAUUUAGGCGCGUUUACACGCUUACAGAGCCUUGCCAGCUUUUCCGGGGCUGAGGAAAGACUGUGAUUCCUGCAGGUUCCCCAAUCUUUUUUAGCCUAUGGGAGACAUCAUGAACAUACAAUAGCACUGCAAACCUGUGUCUUUCAACCGGCUGGUUCCUUGACCGAGCGUGCUCAUCAUGUUUUGUGCACUUCAGAAGCUGUUCCGCUAUGGCUGAAAUUAAGGCCAAAGGGUAGCCAACGCAAGAAAGGCAAUCAACCUGUGCAGCAACACUAUGUUGCAUCUCGUGUGAGCAAGAUUUAUUGAGGCUGUUAAGGAGGCAAAGCUUUACAAUAUCUCAUUUGACUUUGUUGGACAGACAGGCAGGCGCCUAAACAAUAAUUUAGGAGAGCACGAUAACAACGUCCAUAACACUGUUCAAGGCCACUUCGGCAUCCAUUGCUGGGACUGCGGCUGCGUGCCCCUCUUUGAAGGUACGGAAGCUUUAGCGAGACACAGGUCAUCCGGGAAACUAUAGAAGCAGAUUCCACUAGAAAACUGGUUAGUGUGUGCGUUAGUGACCCCUCUAUCGUGCUGACCCCUAGUGAAGACUUGUAUCUCAACAGAUAGAAAUUCUAAUGUUUAUUUUUUUCAAAGGACGAUGUUCUUACUACAGUCAUUUGCUGUUAGACACCCUUUGUGACUCAUUCUGCGCAUGCCCGCUUUUGUACAUAUACACAUGAUGUGGCAACGUAAUAAAAUGUUGGAAGUCAACGCAGUCUGACAUCUCUCGCAGUUCUUGUCAUUCAAGCUGUACGUAAUUUUAUCUCAUUCAUUGCAAACUAUCCCAAGAAACUACCCUUGUUCAGUAUAAUUAUCAUGUUUGAUACGACCAUUUGCUGGCAAAUGUUAACAGUGUGAUAUUUAACUUGAACUUUUGCAUGACUGCCUAUGCCUGUGUUCUUUUAGUAACCAGAGUAUGGCUAAUUUAUUAAACGAAGUUUGCUAAUUUGCAUGCUCACAUGCUACAGCACGCCUUAAUCUUGAACUACUGCAUCCAAGUGCAAAUAAUUUAGAAAUUUACUAGGUAUUUUAAAACACUCCACAUUUUGUGCUCAGCUAAAUCGUUUAAUCAACAGUGAUUUGUUUUUAUCAGGCCUCCUACUGCAGUUUGCACCCAGGCACUAGUAGAUCUGGAAUAUGCACUCUUGAUUUAUAGUAAGAAAAGAACCUAUUUGCAAACUACAUAUUGUAGAUGUACCAAUGCCUUCGAGUUACAAAACAAAAAUUUAUAGAGACUGGUAUUGUAGUUAGAAAAACCGCUACACAGCACCUUUAGCCCAGAGAACUCUCGUUUCACAAAAGAGGACAAACUAUGUAGGCACUAAAAAAUUCUACGUAUUAUUGUGCUCAAGUAAUCUUGUGGGAAAUAGAAAAUUACCAAUAAGGCUCCUGGCUUAAACCUCACUUAAAGCAUGUCUAUGCUUGGGAAGUAUUGUUUCAGUCUGAAAAAUGUUGGCCAGUUCUGCUUUACAUCGACUUUCCAAACUUUUAAUAAUGUUUUGGGAUUACAUUAGUGUACAAAAUAACAGGUGUCUUUCUUGUGCGUUUGCUCUGCAUUUCAAUUGCUUCCCUAAUUCACCUUUGCAAUAUGCCUUUUUUUAAGGCAUCAGAACUUGAAUUUUUGUUCACUGGAGCCUAAUACUAAAAAUUUAUUCCUUUAUGUGGCCCAAAACACUGCGAAUCAACCCAGGCUAUUUCAGUGCCGCUAUACAUAGUUUCUUCUCUAAUAACAGAUUUGAUCAAUACUUAUAUUUUAGAUACCUUUGUGGGAAAUGUACAUGUUCUUGUACUUACCGAUGUGUUUGGUGAUUGUGCAUGUUUAUAUUUAAUGUGAUUUAUGUAUAUAUUGUACUCUGUAUUGCAGCAUGCAAUAAAUAUAGUUGCAUUUUCUUGAAAAUGCAGCAUAUAUCUUACCAGUCUGUGUUGCAUGUUAUUUGGAUAUGGAAAUCAUGAUAGCCUUGGUGUUGAUAUACAUGCUCAAAAGUGUCAAGUUUGCUAGCUUGUAUUUGUGCAGCGAAUACAGGUUUUCCAAUAUACACCAUGAAUUACUAAUAUGUAAUGUGAUCCACACUUAUAGGUGUUGUGUAUGCCCAUCGAAGCUUUAAGGCCGGCUGUUCGACGGUGCGUUUGGUAGCCGAACUUGAACCUUCUGGCACACGCAAUAGUUGUGCGUGGAUCGCUGUACAUAGUAGUAAUUGAAGGCGUGUACUGCCGAACCUGCCUUCCAUACACGCUAGAGAUAAAAGAGUGUACACCCUUCCAACACCCAC